rnacentral:sRNA from 1 species
ACUUCCUGAGUCGGAACGAAAAGUUGUCUGGAAUGCGUGUUCUGGAGGGCUUUUGGCUUACGGUUGUGAUGUUGUGUUGUUGUGUUUGCAAUUGGUCUGACAUUUCGGACCACGGUAGCUAAGCUACCCCUUUUCACUUCCUGUACA